UGAAGAAAAUGAUUCAUCCUCCUGAAUAGGAAGAUC
rnacentral:sRNA from 1 species